CAAUAGCGUAUAUUAUAGUUGUUGCAGUUAAAAAGCUCGUAGUUGGAUUUCUGCUGAGGCCGACCGGUCCGCCCUCUGGGUGAGUAUCUGGCUCGGCCUUGGCAUCUUCUUGGGGAACGUAACUGCACUUGACUGUGUGGUGCGGUAUCCAGGACUUUUACUUUGAGGAAAUUAGAGUGUUUCAAGCAGGCGCACGCCUUGAAUACAUUAGCAUGGAAUAAUAAGAUAGGACUUUGGUGCUAUUUUGUUGGUUUGCACACCAAGGUAAUGAUUAACAGGGACAGUUGGGGGUAUUCGUAUUUAGAUGUCAGAGGUGAAAUUCUUGGAUUUUCGAAAGACGAACUUCUGCGAAAGCAUUUACCAAGGAUGUUUUCAUUAAUCAAGAACGAAAGUUAGGGGAUCGAAGAUGAUCAGAUACCAU
rnacentral:rRNA from 1 species